rnacentral:rRNA from 1 species
UGUGAACGUGGUGCCAGAGACUGCGGGAGUACGGAGGGGAAAAGGGGUGUUCGGAAUUACUAGGGGUAAAGCGGUCGUAGGCGGAGUAGUCAGUGGAUUGUGAAAGCCCUGGGCUUAACCUGGGAACUGCAGUCCAUACUGGUUAUCUUUAGGGCCUGAGAGGAUGGCGGAAUUCCCGGUGUAGUAGUGAAAUACGUAGAUAUCGGGAAGAACACCUGAGGCGAAGGCGGCUAUCUGGCGGUGCACUGACGCUGAGGCGCGAAAGCGUGGGGAGCAAACAGGAUUAGAUACCCUUGUAGUC